UACGUAGGGUGCGAGCGUUUAUCGGAAUUACUGGGCGUAAAGCGUGCGCAGGCGGCUUUGCAAGACAGAUGUGAAAUCCCCGGGCUCAACCUGGGAACUGCAUUUGUGACUGCAAGGCUAGAGUACGGCAGAGGGGGAUGGAAUUCCGCGUGUAGCAGUGAAAUGCGUAGAUAUGCGGAGGAACACCAAUGGCGAAGGCAAUCCCCUGGGCCUGUACUGACGCUCAUGCACGAAAGCGUGGGGAGCAAACAGG
rnacentral:rRNA from 1 species